UGCCAAUGACGAUUAUAUAUUGCACGUGUUAUCAGAAACUAGGUGAUGAUAAUUAAAUUGUCACUACCUCUGAGGCA